GCCCCGUUCUGGAUGCUGUGGGACACUGAAAUUGCUGUGCUACAGCGUGCAGAACGUUUU
rnacentral:pre_miRNA from 1 species